rnacentral:rRNA from 1 species
GACGGAGGAUGCAAGUGUUAUCCGGAAUCACUGGGCGUAAAGCGUCUGUAGGUGGUUUAAUAAGUCAACUGUUAAAUCUUGAGGCUCAACCUCAAAAUCGCAGUCGAAACUAUUAGGCUAGAGUAUAGUAGGGGUAAAGGGAAUUCCAGUGGAGCGGUGGAAAUGACGUAGAGAUUGGAAAGAACACCGAUGGCGAAGGCACUUUACUGGGCUAUUACUAACACUCAGAGACGAAAGCUAGGGUAGCAAAUGGG